rnacentral:rRNA from 1 species
GAUGAACGCUGGCGGCGUGCUUAACACAUGCAAGUCGAACGGAAAGGCCCAAGCUUGCUUGGGUACUCGAGUGGCGAACGGGUGAGUAACACGUGGGUGAUCUGCCCUGCACUUCGGGAUAAACCUGGGAAACUGGGUCUAAUACCGGAUAGGACGAUGGUUUGGAUGCCAUUGUGGAAAGUUUUUUCGGUGUGGGAUGAGCUCGCGGCCUAUCAGCUUGUUGGUGGGGUAAUGGCCUACCAAGGCGUCGACGGGUAGCCGGCCUGAGAGGGUGUACGGCCACAUUGGGACUGAGAUACGGCCCAGACUCCUACGGGAGGCAGCAGUGGGGAAUAUUGCACAAUGGGCGCAAGCCUGAUGCAGCGACGCCGCGUGGGGGAUGACGGCCUUCGGGUUGUAAACUCCUUUCGCUAGGGACGAAGCGUUUUUGUGACGGUACCUGGAGAAGAAGCACCGGCUAACUACGUG